CCAGGAAGUAUUUUUGCUCAGUGACAUGAAGCAGCAACAGGACAAUUAUGAGUCUGCAAAGGGAUCACGUCACAAGAAGGUUGCAUAUGGGGGGAUGAAAAACCCUCAUCCUUUUGCUACUCCGAUGCGACCAUGGGCACCAGGCUCCUCUGCUGUGCAGCCCUUUGCCUCCUGGCCGCAGGUUCUUACGAUGCCAAAGUUACCCAGACGCCAGGACAUCUGAUCAAGGAGAAAGGACAGAAAGCGAGCAUGGAUUGUACCCCCCAACAAGGACAUAAUUCUCUUUACUGGUAUCAACAGAGCCAGAAUAAAGAGUUGGAGUUUUUGGUUUACUUUGAGAACAAGGAACUUUUUGAUCAAACAGAGAUGCACAAGAAGCGAUUCUCAUCUAAAUGCCCCCCAGACUCACCCUGCAGACUGGAAAUCCUGUCCUCUGAACCCGGAGACUCGGCACUGUACUUCUGUGCCAGCAGUCCAUCCACAGCGCUGAAAUGUCAGUUCCUCCUAGCGCACAAACUCAUCACGGACCCAACUCAGGAAGCAGGUGAUGUGCUAGGUUGGAAGGAAGUAACAGAAAUUAACUGGAGCUAGCUUCAGCCAACAUGGGAUUUAACACAAGGCUACAGGGUGUUUAGCAGGAGUCAGGAAGUGAUGGGCAGGCAAUUCUGCAAAAGCCCCACUUGGGCCAGGCUCUGGAGCAACUGUCUCUCCAGCUCUCAUUUCUCUUCA